rnacentral:rRNA from 1 species
GACGAACGCUGGCGGCGUGCUUAACACAUGCAAGUCGAACGAAGAGCGACGGAAGCUUGCUUCUAUCAAUCUUAGUGGCGAACGGGUGAGUAACGCGUAAUCAACCUGCCCUUCAGAGGGGGACAACAGUUGGAAACGACUGCUAAUACCGCAUACGAUCUAAUCUCGGCAUCGAGGAUAGAUGAAAGGUGGCCUCUACAUGUAAGCUAUCACUGAAGGAGGGGAUUGCGUCUGAUUAGCUAGUUGGAGGGGUAACGGCCCACCAAGGCGAUGAUCAGUAGCCGGUCUGAGAGGAUGAACGGCCACAUUGGGACUGAGACACGGCCCAGACUCCUACGGGAGGCAGCAGUGGGGAAUCUUCCGCAAUGGACGAAAGUCUGACGGAGCAACGCCGCGUGAGUGAUGACGGCCUUCGGGUUGUAAAGCUCUGUUAAUCGGGACGAAAGGCCU